UGCCCGAUAGCUCAGUGGUAGAGCAGGUGACUGUUAAUCACUUGGUCGUAGGUUCGAGCCCUACUCGGGCAGCCA
rnacentral:tRNA from 1 species